rnacentral:tRNA from 1 species
GCCAGGGUGGCAUAGUGGUUUGAGUGCUGGACUACAAUUCUGGAGACCAGGGUUCAAUUCCCAGCUUUGUCC